CUUUUCUAGGGCCACUCCCACGGAAUAUGGAGGUUCCCAGGUUAGGGAUCUAAUCAGAGCUGUAGCCGCUAGCCUGUGCUAGAGCCAUAGCAACUCGGGAUCCAAGCCAUAUCUGCGACCUACACCACAGCUCACAGCAACACCGGAUCCUUCACCCACUGAGCAAGGCCAGGGAUCAAACCCGCAACCUCAUGGUUCCUAGUUGUAUUCAUUAACCACUGAGCCACGACGGGAACUCCUUCAAUAAUAAACUUUUUAAAAAGCUGAUGAUUUAUUCAAACAACACAGAAUGAACAUGGACUCUGCCAGGCACUAGGCCAGACACUGAAGAAAGGGGAACAAGGGAACAGGACAGAUACCAGCCCUGGACUCAGAGUGUCUGUAAUACCACAGAGUAUCUAGAAAGAAAAAAACCAAAGGAACAAAUAAAAGAAUCACAAAUGAUGUUGAGAACGAUGAAUAAAACAGAGUACGAAGAGUAAAAGGAGAAAUCAACUUUAAAUAGUAUGGUCAGGGCAGGCAACCACUGAGGAAGUGACAUUUCAGUCACUGAGAAAAACUCAGCCCUAUGAAAAGCAGAAGGAAGCAUAUUCUAGACAUCGAAAACAGCAAGAGCAAAGCCUGAGGUGGGAAAGAACUUCACAUUUAGAAGAACUGAAAGAAACCUUGUUGACUUGAGCAAAGUUGAAGGGGGUUGGGGUGGGGACACCAUCUGUGUCUGAAAAAGCAAACAGCAAAGAACAUAUAUUCAAAUGUAAUAGGAAGCCAGUAAAGGGUUUAGGUAGAGGACUACUGAGAUCCAAGAGACGAUGUCUCUACGCGGCACAUGGAGAACCAAAAUGGGAAGCAAGUAUGGAAACAGAUGGCGGCCAGACCCUUGCCCUGAUACAGUUAUUAAGUUUCACCAUCUGUAUAAGGCAAGAAAACACUUUUUUUAAAAACUGAAGUAUAAUUGCUUCACAAUAUUAUAUUAGUUUCAGGUAUAUGGCAUAGUGAUUAUUUUUAUAGAUUAUACUGCAUUAAAAGAUAUUAGAAAAUAACGGCCACAUCUCCCUGUGCCAUACAAUAGAUCUUUAUUGUUUACCUAUUUUAUGCACUGCCGUUUGUACCUCUUACCCCGUACCCCUUUCUCGCCCCUUCUUCCCUUUCUCUCCCCACUGGUAACCACUAGCUUGUUUUCUGUAUCUGUGAGAAGAGAGCACUUUUUAAAAUUGUUUCUUUUCCUCUGAAUUGCUGAACAUUUCUUUUUUCAAUCAUCCCUGAUUCUUCUACCACCAACAUAUUAUUGCAAAUAAACAUAAUCAGCAUGUCCCUAAGAACAUCUUUGGACUCAGAACACCAAUUUUUAAAAUCUUGGCUCUUCUGCUUACUAGUUUUGUAAAGACUCUAGUUUCCGUGUUCUCAUCUAUAAAGUUGGAAUAAGAAUAGAACUUAUUUCCUAGAGAUAUUAUGAUGAUUAUAUCACAAAUCUAUGCAAAACCUCCUACAACAGUAGACUAAUAAGCAUUAAAUAAAAUAAUCCAUAUAAAGCACUUGGUAGCCAGAUCAUUAUAAUCAGAAGUAAAAGUAAUUAUUAUCUUAGUUAUAAUUAUUAUUAAUAAGCAUCCUCAGAGGAAGCUCCCAUGUGGCACAGCAGGCUAAGGAUCCAGCAUCGCCACAAUUGCAACACAGGCUCCACCCCUGGCCCAGGAACUUCCACCUGCCGGGUGCAGCCAAGAACGAAACAAAACAAAACAAAAAACCUGGCCUCAGAAGUCUUCCUUCAUUGGCUACCCUUCUUCUAUUAGUUUGAAAAUACGAGUUGUCCUGGAAACUUCAAGUCCAACAGAAAAGAUCACAACUGCCACUGUGACUUCCCAAUUAGUCAAAUCUAAUGUGCAUAUAGUAACAGUUCCCCAUGAGUGGAGAAAUAUCACAUUAGCAUUGCAUCAGCUGAAUCAUGUGAAUUUGAUUUAUCAGCAUUCCAGGGAGUGAAGGGUUUGGGUGUUACAUGGAGAUCCAGUUAUUGAGUGGUUAAACAAUGUCCACUCAAAAUAGCAUGUAAAGUAAAAUACAAGAUCAAUUUAUACCAGAGAAAGCAAACCAGUAAUGAGCUUGCAUAAAGAUUAGGUUGACUACCAUCAAUAUAAAUUAAACAUAUUUUUUAUCCAUAGCUUCAUAACAGAUUUUUAACUUGUUAAUACAAGCCUUCUUAAUACCAUGUUUGCUUGUUUGUUUGUUUUUUGGCUGAGAUGAAAGUUGGAUUCUUACUGGGCAACUGUAGUAGAUGCUGCCGCGUGCUGCCCAGAUCCCCCAUUAAGGACUCCCUUCUAGGAUCAAGGCUCUCCUCCCCCAGCUUCCAGGAGCAUUGGUUGUUGACUGUUCACAACUGUACCCCUCAAGGAUGCACCACUUCUCUGGUCGAUGGAGUAAUGCAAAGGCCAGUCCCCUUGCUUCCGUCUGGGGCAACUCGGAAGAGCCAUCUAGCUCCAGAGCUCACCAUAAGAUGGGCUCACAUCUCCAUGGAAACUGCACCAUGGUCCAGCUUCUCCCUAUUUCCAACCCUCACCUGCUUCAGUUGCCCACAGGUGUAGAUCUUGACAGUACUUGCCCCGUAGACCCUGCAUUCACAAAUCUCAGACUCCGUUUCCUAGCAACUUGCCCCAAGACAACAGCCAACAAAUAUUAUAGAAUAAAUCAAUUUUUUUGCCACAGAUCCAUUCAUACCUUCUUUCAAAACAUGAACACAUUCUUAAAACAUAAGCCAACAGUUAAUCUCUUAAUAAAGAUGUGUGAAUAAGUUUUAAAAGCAAAGUCAUCAUUUCAUCGCACUGUUUAUUUCCUAUUAAGCUGUCAAACAAAAAAAAUUACUACCUAAACUGAUUAAAUACCUUGUCCUUCACUCUGAACCACAAACCACUUAAAAGGAGGAUGACAUUAGUUCUAUAGAUAUCUCAAGAAAAUUAUUCUUACUUUUAUAGAGAAUAUAAUGUAUGGUUAAAAUAGAUGUCGUGGACUAGUUCAUAUCUUUUAAUCAUGCACAUUGAACUACUUUUUUCUUAAGAAUAGACCUAAUAUUUACUUACAGGCAAAAAUAAUUUAAUUCACGAAAUAAAGAAUUCAGCUUUGUUAAGAAAAGUUAAAAUCUCAUUUUUAAGUUAAGAGAGAAGCUUAAAGGAAUUCCCACUGCGGCGAGUGGGUUAAGAAUCCCACUACAGUGGCUUGCGUCACUGCAGAGGUAUAGGUUAGAUCCUGGCCAGGCGCAACGGGUUAAAGGAUCCAGCACUGCCAUCUCAGCUGCAGCUCAGAGUCAAUCCCUGGCCUAGGAAAUUCCAUAUGCCUCAGAUGCAGCCAAAAAAAAAAAAAAAGAGAGAGCGAGAGAGAAGCUUACAAUCUCUUUAGUAUAAUUAUAUUGUUAUAUAAAAUGAUUUAAAAAUUAAGAUAUAUAACAAAAAAGUUUUAUUUUAAGCAUCAAAAAUGAGGGAAAAUACUAAAAAUGGAAGUGUAAGAAAUACAUUGAAGCUUACAUUCCUCUAUAUAAAAUACUUAACUCUCCCGGGGCUAUUUGCAGACCUCAGAGUGCAUAGCUUAAAGAUUCAAAAAUCCUAGUUUUUCUACUUCAAAAAUCAAUAGUUAUCUCAUACCACAAGCUAGAAUCUUGAUUGUUUGCGUGGGAAGCCCUUCAAUUUUAACGAAUGUAAAGAGAGAAUCUACUCUGCUCACCAGAAACUGGAAUUAUGUUCUCAAAUGUAUCCUAUCAACUAUCCCUCACCUAGCCUUCUGAGACUUAAUUCUCUCUCUGACCUAAGAUGUUUUGAAUGUCUUCCACAAUUAUUACUUUACUGGCACUUUGAUGACUCAUAAUUAUUUUUAGGAUCAAAACUCUAACCUAACCAUCUGCUGAUUUGCCAGUACUCCCUAGUAUAACUGAAACAUACACAUCUAUCGCCAACAACUAAAUGAGCUUCCUCUAUCUACAAAUACUAUUAUUCACAGAAAGUUUACUGAAGGUCAGGAAACAGAUUGAGAGAAGUCACUGAAUGCCAGAAGCAGAACUUUAAACAAAAGUUUAUUUCUGCCAGUAAGUGAGAAAGGUUACAUAUGUAACUUAGAUGGUUUGGUCUUCCCUUGCUUCUUCCUAUUUACAAAUACAAACAUCUCUUCUCAGAAGCAAAUAAAUAAAUCAUUUUCUUAAGAAGUCACAGUCUUGCUGAAUUUUACUUUCCAACCAAAUUUAAACGUUUUGCUUAAUACUCCUUAAAGUGCUAAAAACUCACUGAUGUCACAUACCAAGAAUUAAAAAAAAAAAAAAAGAAUUAAAAAUUCUGUCUUUACAAACAGAAGAAAAGCAACAACUCCAGAAGAAAAUAAUUCUAUCCAGACACCGGAGAAGAUCUCAUGAGAGUUAAGAUAUUUAAUUACCACAAUUUGGGAACAAGAAGCAACAAUGGAGAAAAGCAAAUAGAAGGUAAACAUGAGAGCGAUAGUUAAAUGCAAAUUCAUGAGUAGAAACCAAAAGUGUGAAAACUGAUCAUAUUUAAUGAUGCAUCUCUGCUUUCCCAGUUCUUCCUCAAUCAUAUGGUAAAAGAAAAUAUGAAGACACAUUAAUCCUGCUACCGGCCUUGAACACAGAAUAGGCAUUCAAAGCAAAAAGUUGAUAGUGCAACACUGACUAAAGCUAACUUGUCAAAAAGUAUCACUCCUUUAGGUAAUCAAUUACAACAGGGAUUCUAUAUACACUCUCCAGGCACAGUAAGGGUUAAAACAUACUCCCCUGCGGUGGUGCGUGACCAUGGGCUCAAGCACAUUUUAGUGUACCCCGACAUCAGCUAGAUCCUAAGUGAAUGGAGUCAACAAUAGUUUGAUCAAAGAGAUUGAGGGUAAAAGGAGCAAUUGCUUUUUGGGGUAGCUAAUGGAACACAAGAACAACUGGUUUGUACAUCAUUUUACUCUACAGUUCUACACAUCCUUGAGUUUAGAAACUGUCAAGUAUUUUUAAGGGUGAGAAUAUAAGCAGGAUCAAAGCUACAGUUAAAACUGUGAAUGCUCUGAAAAUCUUUUGGCCCUUUAAAGUUUAUGUACACAAUAGAGUUCUCCUCUCUCCAGAGAACAUCACUAAACAAAACCAAGGGGGAGCACAUACUACAGCAGCAGCUACUGGGAAUUACCAAAUUACAUGAAAUUAAUGGGAUGUGGCUCUUUGCAAUGAAUAAAUUUAUAACUAAAUGAUGAGUGCCUUACGCUUUUUAUUCCACCGGGUAAACUGCUAGAGUAAUCAAUUCAAUCAGGUCUAUUAGAGAGGCCCAUUAUAUGUCCGAUGGGCAGCUUUACUUCUUUCCCCUCCUUCUUCAGAUUUCUGUCUGUGCUGAAGGAAAAAUAAGCAGGUUGGUCCUUGAAUUUAAAUCUGGAAUGUUAAGAAGUCAGAUAUGCAAAUAGAUAAAACAGAAAAAAGGAAGCCAAGACUCGAUAAGCCAAAGGCACAAAAGAAAAAGAGAAACAUCAGGAAUACUAAAAUGUUUAGGGACCAAAUCAAAUAUUUUCAAUUUAUUUUUUAAAUGUAAUGCUGGUAAUAUUCAGAAAAAUAUUUCUAAAAAUUAAAAAAAAAGGGGGGGGGCUCAAGGAUAGAAUUACCAUGGCCCAGGCUUAGAAGGAUACAAACCAGUAUGCUUGCCCUAGGGCUGAGUGAUCCAUAUAUAGACCUGCAGAGGCAACAGUAAACUUCACAGGAAUUAUGUAAGCAAGGCUCUUCCUAUGAUGAAAUGGUGCCACAAAGGGGCAAGAAAUGACCUAGGCUUUACUUCCUGUAAUGAGGCAAUCUUUGCAACCCUAUGAAAAGUUUCUUAAUCCCAAGACUGGCAGUAUAACUUUUCUUAACUACCUCAUAGUUUUAAAAGGAGAGCCACACAAAUAACACAUGUAAGGGCUCAGUAAAGGUAAAAGUGUGAAACAGAGAAAAGGUAGCACUGACACCAGAGGCAGUCUCAGUGCUAUGGCUAACACAAAGCAAAGGCUCAACCAACAAUUGCUGGAUGAAAGAAUGAACGUUUUAAAAUAAUUUUAAGGCGUUCCCGCUGUAUUGCGGUGGGUUAAGAUUCCAGCUGCAGGAGUUCUCAUCUUGGCGCAGCAGAAACAAAUCCAACUAGGAACCAUGAGGUUGUGGGUUUGAUCCCUGGCCUCACUUGUGGGUUAAGGAUCCGGCGCUGCUGUGAGGUGUGGGGUAGGUUGCAGACGCGGCUCGGAUCUUGCGUUGCUGUGGCUGUGGUGUAGGCUGGCAGCAACAGCUCUGAUUAGACCCCUAGCCUG
rnacentral:lncRNA from 1 species